CGGGUCCCAAGUAGAUGGGCUGCUGAGCAGCGCUGGAGGCAGAGGUGAACUCAAGACCCGGAGAUCCUGACCUGGGCCAGGAAAGCAGACUAGACGCUUACAGCUGAGAUACCCAGGAAGGCCCUAAACUUCCGGUGAAUUUAAUAAUCACUCAGAAAAUGCAGCGCCAAUCACGGAUAUACGGAGUACAGGGAGAAGAGUCACACCUAUAGGAAUUCGUUUCACAAAAAAAGCAAGAUAUCAAACAUUUAUAAGGUGAAGCCAGAACAACAGGACCCAUUUCUUCUUAUAAUCAAGAGCAGCCAUUGAUAUUUUAAACCAACACAAACACAUUUCAUAGAAUGGGAACAGCAGUAUUUAUGGACAUUUAGUUUUACUUUGAGUUCUCUAAUUCUGAGUGGCCUCGAGAGUGUGAUAUUCCAGAGUGAUUUCACUUGUGGAUCAGAUGUAAGCUCCGAGAGAAAAGCAGAGACCUUCUCAGGUUCCAUGGGCAAGAAAAUUCCUUCCCCUCUAGAAAUGCCUUGCACUGAAGAUACUCUUUUGCUUACUUAGAUGCCCUACUCCUACACCUUCUUUAUUAUUUGGAGCUGGUCUGUUUCCUAGCAAUGUCAGAGGUCUUGAGUUGUUACCCAUUAGCAAUUUAACCUUAGCAAUUAACUACAGUCAGUAGUACAGAUAUGUGUCUUUUAACCUGGAUUCCAAGUCAAGAGAUUUCCUACAUAGAUCUAAGUUUCCAGAGCCCUUUCUUUCCUAUUUUAAUUGAAGGAUAACUGUCCCAUGUGCUAAUGAGAGUGUGCCCAGGUGCCUUUCCAUUACCCACACUCAGGCUGCACACUGCCCUGUCCUCUAUUAAGUUAUAGAAUCUGGGCUGUAGAGUGACCUUGAUGCUGAGAAAACCUUGUUAUUCAGGAAUUGCAGAAUAGAGUCUCAGCAUCACAGUUGGGAGUCACUAUUUUGGGCAGUAACUCCGUGAAGAGCAAAAGCUAUACUCUCGCUUAAAUAAUGGCAUGAAUACGGAGCAGAUCCUGGCUAAUGGGCUGUACUCUGGUUUGGAGCUGUUAGGGAGCAGGUCAUGUUAAAGGAAAGCUAGAGCCUAAUAAACCUAAGUGAUUUGUUUAUAUCCACUUAAAGUUCUGGAAUAUUAGCUGGUCUGCCUCAUGCUGUUAGGUGACUCAUUAGCCAUGGUUUAAUAAAAUAUAUCUCUGCAUCCA